ACAAAGCUGACUUCAUAAGGCUUUUUUAGAGAUUAGCGGAGCCGUGUCCCGUGCCGGGCACUAUGCCUGCAGGGGGUCUGGGAGGAGAGUCUUGGGAGUCGAGGACAUGGAUGUGACCCUGGUUCUGCUACUGACUAGCUGUGCAGCUGGAGGCAAGUCCCUGCCAUGCUGCACCUCAGUUUUCUCAUCUGUGUGAUGGGGGCAGUGGCCCUGACCUACCUUUCAUUUACCUAAAGCAGAUUCCGGUGAGACUGACCUUGAUGUGGUUCACUGUCAAUUUCACCGCUCAGUUUCCCUGACCCUCCUCUCCCAUCAGAGAAGCCCUUCUAGAAAGCUCAUACCAAGACUCGUCUGUUCCCGAGGGUGCCAAGAAUCUUCAUGGGACUGAGCCGAGUGGAAGACCUCCCUUCCACCAGGGUGCCAAGGGGCGCGAGCAAGGACGUUCACUGCCGUAGAAUGUGCAAUGCAGAAAAGCGGAGAUCGUCUCGCUCUCCUGUACGCACCUGCGGUGGCAGCCCCCAGGGUAGCCCAGUGACCCUCGGUGCCUGGGAGUCUUGGCCUUGGGAAGCCCCUCCCACGUGUACCAGAGCUGGUCUGAGUGGCAGAGUGGCCCUGCUGCGGUGGGAUGUCACACCAUGACAACAUGGAAUCAUCGUAAACGAUUAGGUUAUGAAAGACUGCCACUGCCACUUGGUGUUCUCCUUGCUCACGCUGGGGAAGCAACGGUCGCGUCUUGGGGACACUCAGCCUGUGGAGAGAGGCCCGUGGAACUGGAGUCUCCAGCGAUAGGCAGCAAGGAACUAAGGCCUGUAGCGAUCACAGGAGGGAGUCUGGAAGCCGAUCUCCCACCCCUCCAGAAGACAGCAGCCUCCGGGAGCCUGGGUGGCUCAGCCCAUUGAGCAGCUGACUCUUGAUUUCAGAAUGCCAGACCAAUGUGAGAAAGAAGGAGAUAGACCCUUGGAUCCAAACAUGGAAAGAUGUCCGAGGUUUUAUUUCUGAGUAAUCUCCGCACCCGACAUGGGGCUGAAACUCCCAAUCCCAAGAGUCACGCUCUCCACCGAGCAAGUAGCCAGGCGCCCUCUAUCUGAAAGC